rnacentral:lncRNA from 1 species
CAGGCCGUUGUUCUUUCUUUCCUUCUUCUUUCUUCUUCCACCUCCUCCUCCUCUUUUUUUCUCCUUUUUUCUCUUCUAAGUCUUCUUCCUCCUCCUCCUCAUUCUUCUUGUUUUUCUUCUUCCUCCUCGUCCUCCUUUGUUAUUUUCGUUUUUUUCUUCUUCUUCUUCUACUCUUUUUGCUCCUUCUUCGACUUUUUCAUCUUUUUUUCUUCUCUUUCUUCUUCUUCUUCUUCUUCGUUAUGGGCGGACAAUCAAUUUUCUUUUUCUUCUUCUUCUUCUUCUUUAACUCUUUCUCUUUUUUUUCUUCAUUCACCUACUUCUUCA